GACGAACGCUGGCGGCGCGCUUAACACAUGCAAGUCGAACGGAAAGGCCUGCUUUCCCUUGUGGAUUGCGGGUACUCGAGUGGCGAACGGGUGAGUAACACGUGAGUGAUCUGCCCCCAACUUGGGUAUAAGCCUGGGAAACUGGGUCUAAUUCCCGAUAGGACUGCAGGGUGGUGCCUGUGGUGGAAAACGAUUUUCUAGUGGUUGGGGAUGAGCUCGCGGCCUAUCAGCUUGUUGGUGGGGUAAUGGCCUACCAAGGCGGCGACGGGUAGGCGGCCGGGGACGGCCGAAGUGGACCUUAGACACGGCACAGGCCCCAGAGGGAGACGGCAGGAAGGAGUCGGGCACAAUGGACGAUGGGCGGACGCCGCAAGCCGGGACGAGGGGUGAAGGACGUCGGGUCUCGGGUUGUUGUCUUCUGUCGAGAGCGAGGAAGGUACGUGUAUGGCAGGGUCGUGACGGUAGUGGACGAAGAAGCAACGGCUAACUACGUG
rnacentral:rRNA from 1 species